rnacentral:rRNA from 1 species
AGUGAACGCUGGCGGUAGGCCUAACACAUGCAAGUCGAACGGCAGCACAGUAAGAGCUUGCUCUUACGGGUGGCGAGUGGCGGACGGGUGAGGAAUACAUCGGAAUCUACUUUUUCGUGGGGGAUAACGUAGGGAAACUUACGCUAAUACCGCAUACGACCUACGGGUGAAAGCAGGGGAUCUUCGGACCUUGCGCGAUUGAAUGAGCCGAUGUCGGAUUAGCUAGUUGGCGGGGUAAAGGCCCACCAAGGCGACGAUCCGUAGCUGGUCUGAGAGGAUGGUCAGCCACACUGGAACGGAGACACGGUCCAGACUCCUACGGGAGGCAGCAGUGGGGAAUAUUGGACAAUGGGCGCAAGCCUGAUCCAGCCAUACCGCGUGUGUGAAGAAGGCCUUCGGGUUGUAAAGCCCUUUUGUUGGGAAAGAAAAGCAGCAGGUUAAUACCCCGCUGUUCUGACGGUACCCAAAGAAUAAGCACCGGCUAACUUCGUG